AACGAACGCUGGCGGCAUGCCUAACACAUGCAAGUCGAACGAGACCUUCGGGUCUAGUGGCGCACGGGUGCGUAACGCGUGGGAACCUGCCCUUAGGUUCGGAAUAACUCCCCGAAAGGGGUGCUAAUACCGGAUAAUGUCUUCGGACCAAAGAUUUAUCGCCUUUGGAUGGGCCCGCGUUGGAUUAGCUAGUUGGUAGGGUAAAAGCCUACCAAGGCGACGAUCCAUAGCUGGUCUGAGAGGAUGAUCAGCCACACUGGGACUGAGACACGGCCCAGACUCCUACGGGAGGCAGCAGUGGGGAAUAUUGGAAAAUGGGCGAAAGCCUGAUCAAGCAAUGACGCGUGAGUGAUGAAGGCCUUAGGGUUGUAAAGCUCUUUUACCCGGGAUGAUAAUGACAGUACCGGGAGAAUAAGCUCCGGCUAACUCCGUG
rnacentral:rRNA from 1 species